UACGAAGGGGGCUAGCGUUGCUCGGAAUCACUGGGCGUAAAGGGCGCGUAGGCGGCGUUUUAAGUCGGGGGUGAAAGCCUGUGGCUCAACCACAGAAUGGCCUUCGAUACUGGGACGCUUGAGUAUGGUAGAGGUUGGUGGAACUGCGAGUGUAGAGGUGAAAUUCGUAGAUAUUCGCAAGAACACCGGUGGUGGAGGCGGCACCCUGGGCCGAGGCCGACGCUGAGGCGCGAGAGCGUGGGGAGCGAACCGG
rnacentral:rRNA from 1 species